rnacentral:rRNA from 1 species
UACAGAGGUCUCAAGCGUUGUUCGGAUUCAUUGGGCGUAAAGGGUGCGUAGGUGGCGCCGUAAGUCGGUGUGAAAUUUCGGAGCUUAACUCCGAAACUGCAUUCGAUAACUGCGUGCUUGAGGACUGGAGAGGAGACUGGAAUUCAUGGUGUAGAGUGAAAUGCGUAGAGAUAUGAGGAAGACCAGUGGCGAAAGGCGGG